UACGGGGGGAGCAAGCGUUGUUCGGAUUUACUGGGCGUAAAGGGCGCGUAGGCGGCCAGCACAAGUCAGUUGUGAAAUCUCCGGGCUUAACUCGGAAAGGUCAACUGAUACUGUGCGGCUAGAGUGCAGAAGGGGCAACUGGAAUUCUCGGUGUAGCGGUGAAAUGCGUAGAUAUCGGGAGGAACACCGGUGGCAAAGGCGGUUCUCUGGGCCUGACCUGACGCUGAGGAGCGAAAGCGUGGGGAGCGAACAGG
rnacentral:rRNA from 1 species